rnacentral:rRNA from 1 species
GACGUAGGGUGCAAGCGUUGUCCGGAUUAUUGGCGUAAGAGCUCGUAGGCGGCUUGUUGCGUCGACUGUGAAAACCCGCGGCUUAACCGCGGGCUUGCAGUUGAUACGGGCAGGCUAGAGUUCGGUAGGGAGACUGGAAUUCCUGGUGUAGCGGUGAAAUGCGCAGAUAUCAGGAAGAACACCCGUGGCGAAGGCGGCUCUCUGGGACGGUACUGACGCUGAGACGCGAAAGCGUUGGGGAGCGAACAGG